UCAAUCUGGAGGGAGAAAGCAGGAUAAGAGUUAGUAGGGCGGGAGUUAGUGGGGUAGGAGUUAGAGGAGCGGGAGUUGUUUGGUGUUUGUUGUUUACCGAUGUAGACAAGCGUGUGUGAAUGUGUGUGUGUGUGUGCGCGCGCGCGCGCGCGCGUGCGUGCGCGUGACCGCUGUGCGCCUCUAAAGUGAAUCUUGGAUCUAGGAAGCACUGGAGGAGAAAGAUUAAAAAGCAUGUGAGACAGAAGAUGCUUGCGAGGAGUGGCUGGCUCUGGCUCGCCCAGCUUUGUUGUGGUUGCCCUGGGCGCAGCGGUUGUAAGGAGGGCUAAAGGCCGAGUUAAUUACACCGGGCGGAUUUCGCUGGAUGGGGACGAUGGGACUGGCUCCUAAAGAAGUUUUCCCAAAAGGAAAAGGAAGCGAGUAGGGUUAGAAAGAAGAACUUCAAGAUUACAAAUAUCCGUCUCAUUUGAUGCGGAAUUACUCGUGGACAGAUAAGAAAAGGUCUGUUUGGACAUUCAAAGAAGCUACACAUACAAAGAUGGUUUGGCUCGGUGCCGUCAGUCCCAGCAUUUUGAAAAAAAAGAAAAGAAAAGAAAAGAAAAGAUGAAGGAAGGAAGGAAGGAAGGAAGGAAGGAAGGAAGGAAGGAAAGAAAAAGGUCUGAGCGUUUCCAUGCUCAUCUUUGCCGCAAAUAAGUAAGUAAGUGCAAGGCAGAAGAAAGUUUGGUUUGCUGCUUAUGUCUGUAGGUUGUCGUGCACGCGGCGUGUAUAUGUCUUGGAAUCAUGUUUGUGCAUUACUACCCCCCCAACACACUCUCAAAGGCAAGGGCGUGGAGGGAUCGCCCCCAGAGAGCAGUGUUUACUCAUUUUUUUUUUAAUCCCUCGGCUAUGUAUGGCAAGUGCUACUUGAAGAUAGUCAUCGGCCUUCUCUAGAUACUUCCAGGUUUGCCGUAAUGAUCUGCAGAAGAGAGCUGCCAUCACUUUCUCACAUCCCAAGGUGUUGGCGGAACUCGGAGCGAGGGGAGAGUGCCUGCAAUGCUUAAUUGCCAAGGGGAGGGCGGGGUGCCGUUCGGGACCCCGGGCGGGAGUUGGGGAGGUAAGGUGCAACCAAGGAGGUCUUUCUGGCUGCUGGACUCUCCAGUUGGAGAAUAUUUGGACAAGGUAUGAUUACCUCCCACCUCCCACUUCUCUCUCCCAAUGCCUUUGGGGGAGAAGUGAUACCCUUGUGUAACAAUUAGCU